rnacentral:rRNA from 1 species
UACGAAGGGGGCGAGCGUUGUUCGGAUUUACUGGGCGUAAAGGGCGCGCAGGCGGCGGAUCAAGUCAGACGUGAAAGCCCCGGGCUUAACCUGGGAACUGCGUUUGGGACUGAUUUGCUAGAGAUCGGGAGAGGAGAGUGGAAUUCCCAGUGUAGAGGUGAAAUUCGUAGAUAUUGGGAAGAACACCGGUGGCGAGGGCGGCUCUCUGGACCGGUUCUGACGCUGAUGCGCGAAAGCGUGGGGAGCAAACAGG